AACGAGCACAGGCUGUGCUGUUAUGAAACCAGUGGGAAAAUAAAUCUCCUGUAUUGUUUAUAUAUUUCGUGUGUUAAUGUCUCUAUGUGAUAGAAUUAUUAUUAUUAUUGAUACAAAUAAUUCUAGCCGGCUCAGCCAAACUUUAUCAGAUGGCGGCUCAAUUUGGCUUAGGAAAUUAUUGGCUGGCGGCAACUGAAAUUCUAAAUGGCGCAAAUGGCGGCGGCUUCGGGGUCUAGUUUGACUAACCAGGCGACCGGAAGCUACAGGUACAAACAUGGAACUACUGGGGUUCUGACGAAGACCGUGACUCCUCUGAACCUGGAGGUGGUGGAGGAAAGCGUGCAGACUAUGGACACCUCCUGAGAUGACACAACCCACCACACUUUGAUCUGUUUGUUUCCCCCAUAACCAUUGACCUCAAGUCUUGUGUGGUGGUUUAAAAAGUUUUCAUUAUUUCCAAUAAAAGUUUCCAAACGUUGCGAA